rnacentral:rRNA from 1 species
AUGGGGGUCUCUGGCUGCAGCAACAACAACGGCAAGACGCUGGUGCUCCUGGCCUGCUUCCUCCUCCUGCUGGCGUUUUCCCCGUUUCUGCAUGGAGUCGGGUGCUUCGCCGCCGCGGAAGCGACGAGUCCGGAGGAAGCCGCCGAGCAGACGCUGAUGGUUGGGAGCACGCCGGCGCUGGAGACGGCGGCGCCGCAGCAGCAUCGGCAUGGCCAGGGUUCGGGCGCGUCUGCCAUCUCGAGCAAUGCUGCCGGUGGUCUCUGGUCGGCCGAGCUCAAGCCGACCGUGGCUCGCAGGUUGCCGCCGGAAGGAGCUGUGGAUGGAGCCGGCCAUUCGUGCGGCUCCAGCGGUCGCCAGGGCUGCACCCCGUCCCCGGAUCGCGCUAGCGCAGGACAGGACAAUAACACCGACCGUAGUGGCAAGGAAGUCAAGGCUGAGGAAUCUUUGCACACAUGCAUCGAACGUCAAUUAGAAACUGGAAUCAUGGAAUGGCACGGAGGAUGCAUCGCACCCCCGGCCCGCUCCAUCGCUCAUCGCAGGCGUUGCCGAAAGCUAGGUGGCGGCUAUUGGCCGGCCACGUUUGAUCCGGCCUUCAGAGGGGCUCCACUCCUUGCUGGUUGCACCACACGGUGCUUCGACUGCGGGAGGGGGAUACGCAUAUACACGCAGAUGCUCCCUCGCAUGGUCGGUCUUUGCUCCAGCCACACGAUACACCAGUUUCGGAGAACAUACCAGCUCGGCGUGCAUUUUAAUUGGCAGCUAGCUAGUACUCCUACCAGUCCCGAAACUCACUACCCGCUGUUCCGUCAGCGGUGUGAACCGAAGAAGCUUGUGUGCUCCUGUGCAAUGCCCCCGAGUCCCCGACCACCAGCCCAGUGCCCAUUGUAUAUACUUACUUUGCAAGCUAGUAGCCUACUAGUAGGAGAUGCAUCACUUUUACAGCUCAGCGAAUCCUUGAUACUCCUAUUCUACUGUAGAGUGUACUACUUGUAUACUCCUCGCAAAAAGGUCCACGUGUUACGAGUAGUAUGGAGAGUACAGAACCAUGCACCGACAGGUGGUGCGUGCAUGUUUGUCAUGCCGAACGGACACGGCCGGCCGGAGGAGACACGCGUAGUUUCCAGCCAGACUUUGCUGCUCUAUGCUCAAGACGAUGAUACUACUAUGCUCAUGUGCUUCGUCACAUGCUCGGUGAAAACUGUGUACGUGGGGCGCUUUCCUCGCCAUUGCCCAGGCAUUUCGGUCUAUCUUCUUUACAGCUCUUACGGCUCGAGACCAUCUCCCCGGGAGCCGCAGAUGGCCGGGGUCCCGUCUCCGACGAUGGUUCACGGCGCCGCCGAACCACGCUCCCGCGAAGACAGGGCGACCAAAGUCCGGCCCCCGACGGAGAAGGGUGCGACUGGUCAUGAUGGAGCAAACGCUGAUGGUGGUGGUGAUGGUGUUGUGUCGUCGGAGCAGAGGAAGGGUUCAGGGCCGCCGGUGCUGCAGACGGCAUUGGGAAGGAUGCUGGGUUCGAAGCUGGCGCGGCGAGUGCUGGGAGGGGAGAUGGAGGACUCUGCGGCCGGGCCGUCGUGCCACUCCAACAACGCGCACAUCACCUGUGCACCGCCGGCACAGCACUGA